rnacentral:rRNA from 1 species
UACAGAGGUCUCGAGCGUUGUUCGGAUUCAUUGGGCGUAAAGGGUGCGUAGGUGGCGCUGUAAGUCGGGUGUGAAAUCCUGGGGCUUAACCCCGGAACUGCAUUCGAUACUGCAGUGCUUGAGGACUGGAGAGGAGACUGGAAUUCAUGGUGUAGCAGUGAAAUGCGUAGAGAUCAUGAGGAAGACCAGUGGCGAAGGCGGGUCUCUGGACAGUUCCUGACACUGAGGCACGAAGGCCAGGGGAGCAAACGGGG